GACGAACGCUGGCGGCGUGCUUAACACAUGCAAGUCGAACGGUGAAGCGCCUUCCUUUUUGGUGGGUGUGGAUGAGUGGCGAACGGGUGAGUAACACGUGAGUAACCUGCCCCCUUCUUCUGGAUAACCGCAUGAAAGUGUGGCUAAUACGGGAUAUUCUGGGUCUGUCGCAUGAUGGGUCUGGGAAAGAUAUUGUUUCGGUGGGGGAUGGGCUCGCGGCCUAUCAGCUUGUUGGUGGGGUGAUGGCCUACCAAGGCGGUGACGGGUAGCCGGCCUGAGAGGGUGGACGGUCACACUGGGACUGGGACACGGCCCAGACUCCUACUGGAGGCAGCAGUGUGGAAUAGUGCACAAUGGGCGCAAGACUGAUGCAGCGACGCCGCGUGAGGGAUGGAGGCCUUCGGGUUGUGAACCUCUUUCGCCAGUGAAGCAGGCCUGCCUCGUUUGUGGGUGGGUUGACGGUAGCUGGAUAAGAAGCGCCGGCUAACUACGUG
rnacentral:rRNA from 1 species